UACAGAGGCCUCGAGCGUUAGGCGGAAUCACUGGGCUUAAAGCGUGUGUAGGCGGACCCCUAAGUACCUUGUGAAAUCCCACGGCGUCACCCGUGGAACGGCUGGGUAUACUGGGGGUCUUGAGCCACUUAGGGGCGAGUGGAACAAAUGGUGGAGCGGUGAAAUGCGUAGAUAUCAUUUGGAACGCCAAUGGUGAAAACAACUCGCUGGGGGUGUGCUGGACGC
rnacentral:rRNA from 1 species